rnacentral:rRNA from 1 species
UACGUAGGGGGCAAGCGUUGUCCGGAAUCAUUGGGCGUAAAGCGCGUGUAGGCGGCCCGGUAAGUCCGCUGUGAAAGUCGGGGGCUCAACCCUCGAAUGCCGGUGGAUACUGUCGGGCUAGAGUGCGGAAGAGGCGAGUGGAAGUUCCUGGUGUAGCGGUGAAAUGCGCAGAUAUCAGGAGGAACACCAAUUGCGAAGGCAGCUCGCUGGGACGUGACUGACGCUGAGACGCGAAAGCGUGGGGAGCAAACAGG